rnacentral:rRNA from 1 species
CUACGGGAGGCUCCAGUGAGGAAUAUUGCACAAUGGGGGGAACCCUGAUGCAGCAACGCCGCGUGGAGGAUGACGCAUUUCGGUGUGUAAACUCCUUUUAUGUGUCAAGAAAAUGACGGUAGCAUAUGAAUAAGCACCGGCUAACUCCGUGCCAGCAGCCGCGGUAAUACGGAGGGUGCAAGCGUUACUCGGAAUCACUGGGCGUAAAGGACGCGUAGGCGGGUUGGAAAGUCAGGUGUGGAAUCCUACAGCUUAACUGUAGAACUGCACUUGAAACUUCUAAUCUAGAGUAUGGGAGGGGGAGAUGGAAUUAGUGGUGUAGGGGUAAAAUCCGUAGAUAUCACUAGGAAUACCUAAAGCGAAGGCGAUCUCCUGGAACAUUACUGACGCUAAGGCGUGAAAGCGUGGGGAGCAAACAGGAUUAGAUACCCGCGUAGUC